UGGGGGAUAUUGCACAAUGGGGGAAACCCUGAUGCAGCAACGCCGCGUGAGGGAAGACGGUUUUCGGAUUGUAAACCUUUGUCUUUGGGGAAGAAGAUAGUGACGGUACCUCAGGAGAAAGCCCCGGCUAACUACGUGCCAGCAGCCGCGGUAAUACGUAGGGGGCAAGCGUUGUCCGGAAUUAUUGGGCGUAAAGAGUACGUAGGCGGUUCGGUAAGCGAAAGGUGAAAGGCAUCGGCCCAACCAGUGUCAGCCUUUCGAACUGUCGGACUUGAGUGCAGGAGGGGAAAGUGGAAUUCCUAGUGUAGCGGUGAAAUGCGUAGAUAUUAGGAGGAACACCAGUGGCGAAGGCGACUUUCUGGACUGUAACUGACGCUGAGGUACGAAAGCGUGGGGAGCAAACAGGAUUAGAUACCCUGGUAGU
rnacentral:rRNA from 1 species